AGCCAUCACCAUGGCAACCCGGGUCUUGUGACAUUCCAUCACGUGACCCUGCCUGCUUCCGCUCACAUACCCGCACCUAGGCCGCCGCCGCCGCCGCCGCCUCUCAGUGUCUACCCCCCCUCACCAUGGAGACCCAGCCAACCCGACACCGGCCGGCACCAGAACCGAGCCAGGGGAGCAGUAAGGCCGGACCGGACCCUUCGGAGCUGGCGGAGAGGAGGAAGGAGGCCCGGGGCUGCCUACAGGAAAUCUCUCACCCGUCAUACUGGUUCGAUGUGUGGGUGUUCCUGCUCUUCGACCUGAUCUUAUUCAUCUUCAUCUACCUGCUGCCCUGAAAUACUUGUAAACCUUCAAGACACUAAAGACGACUAUCCCUCUUGGACAUGAAAUGCUUCAUUGGCGUCAUUUGCAAACAUUUGACGUUAACAGUCUUUUGCCAUUAAGAGUAGUAACUCUUUGAAUUACAGUAUGGGUGUUGGAUUGUAAAAUGGAUAUUGAAAGACUUCUUACACGAAGACCCUUGGAAUAUUUAUUUUCUACAAGAUGAUUUUCAGUUAAUUCUUACACAAAUUUUUUAUAAAGAUUAUAAUUCAAGGCCA